CGUCGCUUUCCUUUCUAUUGUAGCCACAACACCAUUUGUUUUGCCUUUUCUUCCUCCGAGAGCAAUGCUAUUGUCUCACGUCAUCGCUGCCUUGAUACGCCAAAUCCCUUCGUCGUUUUCUGCUCCUUGGCUGUCGUCUGAUACACCGCCGCCUUGAUCCACCAGAUCACGUCGUCGGUUUAUGCUCCUAAUAUGUUUAUUUCUGUACUAUUUUAACAAUUAUGUGGCUUUUCAUAUUUCAAUUGUGGUUUUUGUGAGAAGAAGUAGAUGGAUUACUGAAAAUAAAAAUGGAAUAGUCUUGUUCAUGUCUUUUUGAUGACGAUGAUAAUGGAG
rnacentral:lncRNA from 1 species